ACGAGACCUUCGGGUCUAGUGGCGCACGGGUGCGUAACGCGUGGGAAUCUGCCCUUGGGUUCGGAACAACAGUUGGAAACGACUGCUAAUACCGGACGAUGACUUCGGUCCAAAGAUUUAUCGCCCAGGGAUGAGCCCGCGUAGGAUUAGCUUGUUGGUGAGGUAAAAGCUCACCAAGGCGACGAUCCUUAGCUGGUCUGAGAGGAUGAUCAGCCACACUGGGACUGAGACACGGCCCACACUCCUACGGGAGGCAGCAGUGGGGAAUAUUGGACAAUGGGCGAAAGCCUGAUCCACCAAUGCCGCGUGAGUGAUGAAGGCCUUAGGGUUGUAAAGCUCUUUUACCCGGGAUGAUAAUGACAGUUCCGGGAGAAUAAGCCCCGGCUAUCUCCGUGACAGCACCCGCGGUAAUACAGAGGGGGCUAGCGUUGUUCGGAAUUACUGGGCGUAAAGCGCAUGUACGCGGCUUUGUAAGUUAGAGGUGAAAGCCCGGAGCUCAACUCCAGAAUUGCCUUUAAGACUGCAUCGCUUGAAUCAUGGAGAGGUGAGUGGAAUUCCGAGUGUAUAGGUGAAAUUCGUAGAUAUUCGGAAGAACACCAGUGGCGAAAGCUACUCACUGGACAUGUAUUGACACUGAGGAGCGAAAGCGUGGGGAGCAGACAGGAUUACAUACCCUGGUAGUCCACGCCGUAAACAAUGAUGACUAGCUGUCCGGGCGCUUGGCGUUU
rnacentral:rRNA from 1 species